rnacentral:rRNA from 1 species
UACGUAGGGUGUAAGCGUUGUCCGGAAUUAUUGGGCGUAAAGAGCUCGUAGGCGGUUUGUCGCGUCGAAUGUGAAAACCCGGGGCUCAACCCCGGGCCUGCAUUCGAUACGGGCAGACUAGAGUUCGGUAGGGGAGUCUGGAAUUCCUGGUGUAGCGGUGAAAUGCGCAGAUAUCAGGAGGAACACCGGUGGCGAAGGCGGGACUCUGGGCCGAUACUGACGCUGAGGAGCGAAAGCAUGGGGAGCGAACAGG